UAAAAACCCCGACUUCGGAAGGGGUGUAUUUAUUAGAUACAAAACCAAUGCCCUUCGGGGCUCUUUGGUGAUUCAUGAUAACUAUACGAAUCGCACGGCCUUGCGCCGGCGAUGGUUCAUUCAAAUUUCUUCCCUAUCAACUUUCGAUGUUUGGGUAUUGGCCAAACAUGGUUGCAACGGGUAACGGAGGGUUAGGGCUCGACCCCGGAGAAGGAGCCUGAGAAACGGCUACUACAUCCAAGGAAGGCAGCAGGCGCGCAAAUUACCCAAUCCCGACUCGGGGAGGUAGUGACAAUAAAUACUGAUACAGGGCCCUUUCGGGCCUUGUAAUUGGAAUGAGUACAAUUUAAAUCCCUUAACGAGGAACAAUUGGAGGGCAAGUCUGGCGCCAGCAGCCGCGGUAAUUCCAGCUCCAAUAGCGUAUAUUAAAGUUGUUGUGGUUAAAAAGCUCGUAGUUGAACCUUGGGCCUGGCUGGCCGGUCCGCCUCACCGCGUGCACUGGUCCGGCCGGGCCUUUCCCUCUGUGGAACCCCAUACCCUUCACAGGGCGUGGCGGGGAAACAGGACAUUUACUUU
rnacentral:rRNA from 1 species